rnacentral:lncRNA from 1 species
GUUAACUGUGAUGAGUCUUUAACAGACCUGUAAUGAAUUGCGGGUAUGAUCGCAUUUUUAUUGAACAUCUAAGGGACUGAGUUAACUAGUUAAUCUCCCAUUUUCUUAUUAAUUUUUGUUUUUAUUUUUUGUUAUAAUCCAUUUAGUGGCUUCAGAUUUUGAUUUUAAUUAUGCUUGCACCUAAUUUAUUGUGUUUGCAAUGUUCUAUGAAGCCUAUAAUUGUGUUCCCCUCGCUAUCCACUACUGCAAAUCUAAUGCUGUAUAUGGACGUCGGGGAACAAAAUUUCAAUUUUUUUUUACCAUGUGAUUAAAUGGUUUAAGCCGUUUUGAAUUAUUGCUUCUAGAUCUAUGUUUGUUUGUUAAUUUGAUUUGAAUUGUAGAUAAGGAUGAAGCAAUAUAUAUAAUCCAACACUUGAUCUGAUUUUGUGAUGCCAAAUAUAUUUAUUAUGUUUCUGAAUCUACAUUUUGGGCUAUAAUCGUAAUGUUUUGCUUGUAGGUUAAUUUAAUUUAUAUUUUGUAAAUAUUUGAGGAGUCUUAAUUUGCACUAUCAUGUGAUGAGUUUGGAAUAAAUCUUAGGACACCUUCCUACACAACAUAUGUUGUGGAUGAGAUGAAUUAUCCUUUCUGAUGAUGUUUACAAAUUUCUCAUUACUCUGUCACUAAGUUAUUUUCUAGCUACAUUUUAAUUUUUUAUGUGUUUGGCCUUCAUAAUCCCAGUUAAGAUUGAAUUUUUUUCAAGUGAUUACACUGAUUCAUGGAAGGCCAACAAUAAGUGUUGGAAGUUUCGCUGAUAAAUGCCUUUAAUUGAUUUUACAUCAGGGUGUUUACUAGUAACUUUACCGCACACUC